rnacentral:lncRNA from 1 species
CUCCUUCUAAACUGACGGCUGUUCUAUUUUAACAGAGUCCCUGAAAAAUUCAAUAGGAGACAUCUUUAUAGAGAUACAGCUGCUCAUCUCAUAAUCUCCCUAGUAAGCUGGAUUUACACUCCACAAAAGAUUCAGCCUUUGACUAGGGAUUCCUUUCUCCAAAACUAUAUGGGAAUGAAAAACUUCUUAACUAGGGCAAGGCUGACAAGUCAAGCUUUACAGAAGAGAUGCUAUCUUAUAAAACAGAUGGCAGAGCAAGGGGGGAAAAAAAAAAAAUCAAGCCAGCAAGCAAGCGAGUUGUGGCCACAGGGGCUUGCGGACAUAAAACAAGGUAGGGUGAUCAGCUACUCUCCCAGAGGAAAUAACCCUUCCACCACCGGGG